rnacentral:rRNA from 1 species
GACGAACGCUGGCGGCGUGCUUAACACAUGCAAGUCGAACGGAAAGGCCCUGCUUUUGUGGGGUGCUCGAGUGGCGAACGGGUGAGUAACACGUGAGCAACCUGCCCUUGACUUUGGGAUAACUUCGGGAAACUGGGGCUAAUACCGGAUAGGAGCUCCUGCUGCAUGGUGGGGGUUGGAAAGUUUCGGCGGUUGGGGAUGGACUCGCGGCUUAUCAGCUUGUUGGUGGGGUAGUGGCUUACCAAGGCUUUGACGGGUAGCCGGCCUGAGAGGGUGACCGGCCACAUUGGGACUGAGAUACGGCCCAGACUCCUACGGGAGGCAGCAGUGGGGAAUAUUGCACAAUGGGCGGAAGCCUGAUGCAGCAACGCCGCGUGCGGGAUGACGGCCUUCGGGUUGUAAACCGCUUUCGCCUGUGACGAAGCGUGAGUGACGGUAAUGGGUAAAGAAGCACCGGCUAACUACGUGCCAGCAGCCGCGGUGAUACGUAGGGUGCGAGCGUUGUCCGGAUUUAUUGGGCGUAAAGGGCUCGUAGGUGGUUGAUCGCGUCGGAAGUGUAAUCUUGGGGCUUAACCCUGAGCGUGCUUUCGAUACGGGUUGACUUGAGGAAGGUAGGGGAGAAUGGAAUUCCUGGUGGAGCGGUGGAAUGCGCAGAUAUCAGGAGGAACACCAGUGGCGAAGGCGGUUCUCUGGGCCUUUCCUGACGCUGAGGAGCGAAAGCGUGGGGAGCGAACAGGCUUAGAUACCCUGGUAGUCCACGCUGUAAACGGUGGGUACUAGGUGUGGGGUCCAUUCCACGGGUUCCGUGCCGUAGCUAACGCUUUAAGUACCCCGCCUGGGGAGUACGGCCGCAAGGCUAAAACUCAAAGGAAUUGACGGGGCCCCGCACAAGCGGCGGAGCAUGCGGAUUAAUUCGAUGCAACGCGUAGAACCUUACCUGGGUUUGACAUGGAUCGGGAGUGCUCAGAGAUGGGUGUGCCUCUUUUGGGGUCGGUUCACAGGUGGUGCAUGCCUGUCGUCAGCUCGUGUCGUGAGAUGUUGGGUUAAGUCCCGCAACGAGCGCAACCCUUGUUCACUGUUGCCAGCACGUUAUGGUGGGGACUCAGUGGAGACCGCCGGGGUCAACUCGGAGGAAGGUGGGGAUGACGUCAAGUCCUCAUGCCCCUUAUGUCCAGGGCUUCACGCAUGCUACAAUGGCUGGUACAGAGAGUGGCGAGCCUGUGAGGGUGAGCGAAUCUCGGAAAGCCGGUCUCAGUUCGGAUUGGGGUCUGCAACUCGACCUCAUGAAGUCGGAGUCGCUAGUAAUCGCAGAUCAGCAACGCUGCGGUGAAUACGUUCCCGGG